CGAGAAAACUUUGCAAUGUGCGAAAGCACGACAAGGUUAAUCCGAGUGGUUUCUGCUAAAGGAACCUUUUGUCGGUCCUAGAAACACCGAUGAAUAAGGGGGUGGGCAAGUUCUGGUGUCAGCCGCCGCGGUAAAACCAGCACCUCAAGUGGUCAGGAUGAUUAUUGGGCCUAAAGCAUCCGUAGCCGGCUCUGUUAGUUUUCGGUUAAUACUGUACGCUCAACGUAACAGGCGUGCCGGGAAGUACUGCAGAGCUAGGGAGGUGGGAGGAGGUAGACGGUACGUCGGUAGGAAGGGGUAAAAGUACCUUUGUAUCUAUU
rnacentral:rRNA from 1 species